UCAUGAUGAAAACAAUCUAAUAUAGCUGGAAUUACCGGCAGAACUCUCCUGUUGAGAAGCAGUUUUCUGAAU